rnacentral:rRNA from 1 species
GACGGAGGAUGCAAGCGUUGUCCGGAAUUAUUGGGCGUAAAGAGCUCGUAGGCGGUCUGUCGCGUCGGCUGUGAAAACCCGGAGCUCAACUCCGGGCCUGCAGUCGAUACGGGCAAACUGGAGUGUUGCAGGGGAGACUGGAAUUCCUGGUGUAGCGGUGAAAUGCGCAGAUAUCAGGAGGAACACCGGUGGCGAAGGCGGGUCUCUGGGCAACAACUGACGCUGAGGAGCGAAAGCGUGGGGAGCGAACAGG